rnacentral:misc_RNA from 1 species
GCAAACUUGGUCAUUUAGAGGAAGUAAAAGUCGUAACAAGGUUUCCGUAGGUGAACCUGCGGAAGGAUCAUUAACAGAGAAAAACCCUCCUGGCUACGGUUCGCCCUGGCCGGAGUCUCCAACCUCUUGUGAAACGGUAGCCUUUCUGGGCCUCGCUUCGGUAGCAGGUUCGGCCUGAAAAGGUCGUGCCAUCAGCCUGCCGGCGUGCGUCCUAUACCAAACUUUUUAACUGCCUGAAUGGAAAAGAGUCUGAUAGACAUAACUUGGCGAAUGCCUGUUAAAACUUUCAACAACGGAUCUCUUGGUUCCCGCAUCGAUGAAGAACGCAGC